rnacentral:rRNA from 1 species
UGGGGAAUAUUGCGCAAUGGGGGAAACCCUGACGCAGCAACGCCGCGUGAAGGAAGAAGGUCUUCGGAUUGUAAACUUUUGUCUUUGGGGAAGAAAAAAAUGACGGUACCCAAGGAGGAAGCCACGGCUAACUACGUGCCAGCAGCCGCGGUAAUACGUAGGUGGCAAGCGUUGUCCGGAUUUACUGGGUGUAAAGGGCGUGUAGGCGGAAAGGUAGGUCAGAUGUGAAAUACCGCAGCUUAACUGCGGGGCUGCAUUUGAAACCAUCUUUCUUGAGUGUCGGAGAGGAAAGCGGAAUUCCUAGUGUAGCGGUGAAAUGCGUAGAUAUUAGGAGGAACACCGGUGGCGAAGGCGGCUUUCUGGACGAUAACUGACGCUGAGGCGCGAAAGCGUGGGGAGCAAACA